UUGGUAUGUGUUUAAGCAUUUAGAUGGUAGCAAAUACAAAUAAUGACUUAAACAACAUUAACUUUGUUUAUUUCAUUUGCAGGAAGUUUCUCUUGGUAGACCACCCACCCGUCAUGAGGUAUGGAAGAAGACCCAUACGAAAAUCGAAGACGGAAAAGAAGUUUGGGUCGAGCCAUGGGCAGUGGAUACCUAUGUAAGCUCUAAACUUACUUGGAAUAUAUUUGACUAGUAAUAUUAUUUUAUGGUUCCUGGAGGUACUUCCUAUAUUAUCUCCUCGUCUCGGUGUUGAGGCAAACUAGAGCAAUGCUUGAUUUUUGAAUCGAUAUAAUCUGGAGAGGAUGUAGAGGAUGAGGAGAUCAGGAGCAUGGAGACGAUAAGGAUCAGGAGAAUAGAGAGCAUGGAGAGGCUGAAAUGGAGUAUUAGGUGUCAAUUGUUAUUUUUUUCUAACUUCUGUUAUUUUGGAUCGUUUGAAGUCUAGUGGGAUGCUUUUGAUAUGUGUGCAUAACGUCAAAGUUGGCUGGAUAUGUACGAUGUUUGUUGGCUUAAUUUUAAUGCUUGAAUCAUUUCAGAGUAUUUUUAUUAUUGUUUUGAUGGC